rnacentral:rRNA from 1 species
UUUUAAAUGGCCGCAGUAUUUUGACUGUGCAAAGGUAGCAUAAUCAUUAGUUUUUUAAUUAAAAGCUUGUAUGAAAGGCUGGACGAGGUAAAAUCUGUCUCUAUCUAAAUUAUAGUAGAAUUUAACUUUUAAGUUAAAAGGCUUAAAUAUUAUUAAAAGACGAGAAGACCCUAUAGAUCUUUAUAGCUUAUUAAAUUAAAUUAAUUUAGAAAUAUUAAUGUUUUAUUUAAUUAAGGUAUUUUAUUGGGGUAAUAAAAAGAUUAAAUAAAUUCUUUUUUAUAAUAAACAUUAAUUUAUGAAUAUUAAUGAUCCAGUUUUACUGAUUAUAAGAUUAAGUUACCUUAGGGAUAACAGCGUAAUUUUUUUAGAGAGUUCAUAUCGAUAAAAAAGUUUGCGACCUCGAUGUUGGAUUAAAGAUUAUUUUAGGUGUAGAAGCUUAAUAAUUUUGGUCUGUUCGACCAUUAAAUCUUUACAUGAUCUGAGUUCAGACCGGCGUAAGCCAGGUCGGUUUCUAUCUUUAAUAAAAUAAAAUAUUUUAGUACGAAAGGACCAAAUAUUUAAUAUAUUUAUAUUUAAUUUACUGAAUAUUA